rnacentral:rRNA from 1 species
AUUGAACGCUGGCGGCAUGCCUUACACAUGCAAGUCGAACGGCAGCACGGGUGCUUGCACCUGGUGGCGAGUGGCGCACGGGUGAGUAAUACAUCGGAACAUGUCCUGUAGUGGGGGAUAGCCCGGCGAAAGCCGGAUUAAUACCGCAUACGAUCUACGGAUGAAAGAGGGGGACCUUCGGGCCUCGCGCUAUAGGGUUGGCCGAUGGCUGAUUAGCUAGUUGGUGGGGUAAAGGCCUACCAAGGCGACGAUCAGUAGCUGGUCUGAGAGGACGACCAGCCACACUGGGACUGAGACACGGCCCAGACUCCUACGGGAGGCAGCAGUGGGGAAUUUUGGACAAUGUGCGAAAGCCUGAUCCAGCAAUGCCGCGUGUGUGAAGAAGGCCUUCGGGUUGUAAAGCACUUUUGUCCGGAAAGAAAUCCUUGGCCCUAAUACGGUCGGGGGAUGACGGUACCGGAAGAAUAAGCACCGGCUAACUACGUG